UCCCAAACUUUGAAGAAACACUACAGUACUGAGGUAAUUGAACGUUGUAAGGCAGAGCAUCGGGCUUACCAGAGCCAAGGUAUCUUCUUCGAUAACAAGGAAUAAAGGAAAAUGAAAUAUAACCAAACUUGGGAUCUUUGCAAGCAAGCUUCCACGAAGAAACUAGGUUACAAGGGGAGGUAUUCUGCUCUCCUUUUUUUUUUUUUUUCCAUCCGUAGAAUCUUGCUUAAAAUGCUUUGAGGACAAUGCAAAUUUUCAAGUGGGGGGUGGGGUUGUAGCCUUGCACAUUCCAUGUCCUUUGGGAAAUUUUCAUUUUGAAAAUUUUGCUAAACAUGUCAAAAUUUAGAAACUUUUGCAAUGCUCUAUGCUUAGAAUAAGUACCAUGUC